AGCAUGUGGUUUAAUUCGAAGCAACGCGAAGAACCUUACCAAAUCUUGACAUCCUUCUGACAGAACCGAUAAACGGUUUUCCCUUCGGGGCAGGAGUGACAGGUGGCGCAUGGUUGUCGUCAGCUCGUGUCGUGAGAUGUUGGGUUAAGUCCCGCAACGAGCGCAACCCUUGUCCUUAGUAGCCAGCACAUUAUGGUGGGAACUCAAAUGAGACUGCCGCGGACAACGCGGAGGAAGGUGGGGAUGACGUCAAGUCAUCAUGCCCCUUAUGUCCUGGGCUACACACGUACUACAAUGGGAUGGACAGAGAGCAGCGACCCCGUGAGGGCAAGCGAACCCCAUAAACCAUCUCCCAGUUCGGAUUGCAGGCUGCAACUCGCCUGCAUGAAGUCGGAAUCGCUAGUAAUCGUGAAUCAGAAUGUCACGGUGAAUACGUUCCCGGGUCUUGUACACACCG
rnacentral:rRNA from 1 species